rnacentral:pre_miRNA from 15 species
AGCUGCUGGAAUGUAGAGAUGCCCCUCAAAGGCUCAGUAGCCAGUGUAGAUCCUGUCUUUUGUAAUCAGCAGCUACAUCUGGCUACUGGGUCUCUGAUGACAUCUACUAGCUUCUGUCACAGUG